GGGUGAUUAGCUCAGCUGGGAGAGCACCUCCCUUACAAGGAGGGGNNACAAGGAGGGGGUCGGCGGUUCGAUCCCGUCAUCACCCACCA
rnacentral:tRNA from 1 species